rnacentral:tRNA from 1 species
AGGUGUUCCUCAUUUGGUAGAGGGUUUACCUAUCAUGCAUAAAGCUCUGGGUUUGAUCCCCAGCACUU